ACAUGCCUAUAGCAUAGCGUUCAUGCACAGGAUCCCAUUAGAAUUCGCAGUUAAAUGCGCUCAGGUUGGAGUAGUACUAGAAUGGGUGACCGCCUGAGAAGUCCUAGUGUUUUACAUGCC
rnacentral:rRNA from 1 species